UCAAAGUAUUAUCAGACUGACCUUAUUGUUGGAUCACUAAAGUUAUGUAAAUUAUUAAGAUGUGCUCCAUUUAUUGUAUCUCACGGGCAUUGAAUUCGAGUCAGUGCAAAUAUUUGGUUCGGACCACGCAGACAUUGUAUAACGUUUGCUGCAUUUAGAAAGCUGCUGUAGCACGUCAACCAUGAAUAAAACUAUUAUUAUAUUAUUGGCCGUUCUGGCUGUACUCGCCAUUGCUGACGCUAGAGCAACAUGCAAAGGUAGCAGUCACCAUUCCCGAUGCGAUGAUGA